GACUAGUUUUAUUAUUAACAAAUCAAAAAGAAAAAGCUAUCACUUUUCUCUUCUCCUUCACCGAAAUAUGCAGCAAAGAAAGGGUUUUGAAGCUGGAAAAUUUCAGCAACAUAUUUCCCUUGCUUAUCAAUGAAAUCGAGAUUUGGACCUAGAACGGAAAGAAAUCGAUUAAGGGAUGAUUAUGUCCUUUUCACCUUUGUGGUAUCGAGAGUUUCCAGGUUAGCUCGGGUUGGAGGUCAUCAGAGAUAUUAUCACACUGUCGAGUUAACGCUAUCGGCGUAAGUAAACUCAAGUGAUUCUAGUCUAUGGCAUGUAUAGGGUUUUAAUGUGAGUAUGUAAUAUUAUGAUUUAGCCAAAGGCAUUGGCUUGUUAUUAAGGUAGUAUUAGUCAAUGUAAAUUGGCCUAUGUCGGCUAAUAUCGUUAUGGGCCCAUAUGAUUAUUCUUAUGCAUGUAUGUUAUUAUCUCUUGUGAUGUGGCUUACAACAUGUAUGCUUAGAGAUUGAAUUGAGAUUCAUUGAUGAGCUAAUAACUAAUGCAGGAUUAAGUGAUUGGUAAAUAGUUAAUAA